GUGUGAAUGAUGAAAAUGUUGUUGUUAAAGCCAUGAAAUUUGAUUGAAUUGUGUGAAUGAUGAAAAGGUAGAUGUUAAAACCUAUGAAAUUUGAUUGAAUUGUGUGAAAGAUGAAAAUGCUGUUGUUAAUCCCAGGAAAUUGGAUUGAAUGUGUGAAUGAUAUAAAUGUUGAUGUUAAACCUAUGAAAUUUGAUUUAAUUUCUG
rnacentral:lncRNA from 1 species